rnacentral:rRNA from 1 species
UACAGAGGUCUCAAGCGUUGUUCGGAUUCAUUGGGCGUAAAGGGUGCGUAGGCGGCUGUCCAAGUCGAACGUGAAAACUCGGGGCUCAACUCCGAGCCUGCGUUCGAUACUGGACGGCUAGAGUCUGGUAGGGGGAUCUGGAAUUCCUGGUGUAGCGGUGGAAUGCGUAGAGUAUCGUAAGGAAGACCAGUGGCGAAGGCGGGUCUCGUGGACAGUUCCUGACGCUGAGGCACG